rnacentral:rRNA from 1 species
CGGUAAUUCCAGCUCCAAUAGCGUAUACUAAAGUUGUGGCAGUUAAAAAGCUCGUAGUUGGAUUUCUGGUCUGGGAGGGACGUCCGGGCGCUUUGCGUUGCGGUACAGUCCGUCCUGACCAUCUUGUCCAAAACCCCGGCCUCCUUAACUGGGGGACGUUUGGGUGAAGGACUCGCUUACUUUGAGAAAAAUAGAGUGUUCAAAGCAGGCAAAUGCCUUGAAUAAGUUAGCAUGGAAUAAUGAUAAAGAACUUCGGUUUUAUUUUGUUGGUGUUCUGAACUGAAGUAAUGAUUGAUAGGGACAGUUGGGGGCGUUAGUAUUCUGAAGCGAGAGGUGAAAUUCUGAAACCUUUGGAAGACUAACUGCUGCGAAAGCGUUCGCCAAGGAUGUUCCCUUUGAUCAAGAACGAAAGUUGGGGGAUCGAAGACGAUCAGAUACCGUCGUAGUCUCAACUAUAAACUAUACCAGCUAGGGAUCGGCCGGCGCUAGUAUACAAGAGCCCGGUCGGCACCUUAUGAGAAAUCAAAGCAUCUGGGUUCCGGGGGGAGUAUGGUCGCAAGGCUGAAACUUAAGGGAAUUGACGGAAGGGCACCACCAGUCGUGGAGCCUGUGGCUUAAUUUGACUCAACACGGGAAAACUUACCAGGUCCAGACAUAGUAAGGAUUGACAGAUUGAAAGCUCUUUCUUGAUUCUAUGGGUGGUGGUGCAUGGCCGUUCUUAGUUGGUGGAGUGAUUUGUCUGGUUAAUUCCGUUAACGAACGAGACCCCAGCCUGCUAAAUAGCGCCAGUGAGCAUUAGCUUGCUGCGAGCUUCUUAGAGGGACUAUGGAUUCGCUUGCAGACCAGGGAAGUUUGGGGCAAUAACAGGUCUGUGAUGCCCUUAGAUGUUCUGGGCCGCACACGGGCUACACUGACGCGUGCAACGAGCAUAUCAGCUGGUCCGAGAGGAUCUUGGCUAAUCUUUUGAACUCGCGUCGUGCUAGGGAUUGACUAUUGCAAUUGUUAGUCAUGCAACGAGGAAUGUCUUGUAAACGUGGGUCAUCAACCCACAUUGAAUACGUCCCUGCCCUUUGUACACACCGCCCGUCGCUCCUACCGAUGAAUGUUCCGAUGAAAUUUUCGGAGGUGGCCCUUGACCCGGGCCUCGCCUGGGGAUUCGGCUUACCAUAGUUGCUUAAAUCUGAACAUUUCGAGGAAGGAGAAGUCGUAACAAGGUAGCCG